rnacentral:rRNA from 1 species
GGUCCCUUUCCGAACCCGGAAGCUAAGCCUGGUUACGCUGAUGGUACUGCACUCGGGAGGGUGUGGGAGAGUAGGUUACCGCCGACC